CCGGCACGAUGUUUCGUUGAUGACAUGAACCAGAGCUUCGUUUCAGUUAAUAGUAAGAUAGACUGAUCGUGUACUUUGUGCCCCCCCUAAGCACAGGCUCAGAAUUAAGAAUUGGAUAUAACUCUAAAUAUGCGAUAUUACUGUGUAACCAGUGUGCCGACCAUUUGCCAAAACACAAUUCGGUAUCAAAUAUGGCUUCGAAACCAAUCGAAGCUGAAGCAUCUCUAAACAUAUUAAGCUUGUUCGAGUUGCACCAUGCAAGUUUCGUCCAGGAAAAAUAAAAUACCAUUAAAAGAAUCAAAUCCUCUUUGACCUCCUGACGUAAACGAAUGAAAUAUCGUGGAUUCUGAACGCCUUGGGUUAGGUCAAUGGACGCCGUUAAAAUGCGCGACCUGGCACAAUUACGGAACAAGCAAAAUUUAACAAGCCAAUCAAGGAUUGGAAGUCUUUUAAGAUAACCAUUUUGCGAUUAAGAAAAGGAACCAUGGUGUCGACGCAUUUCGAAAGUUUGUC